CUCACUUUAAAUAUGAAGAUAUUUAAAUAUGAAUUUAAAUUUGAUAUGAAUUUAUGAAUUUAAAUAUGAAUUUAAAUAUGAUAUUUAAAUAUGAAGAUAUUUAAAGUCAUUGCUGAGGGUUUCAAAAAGAUAAUAAAAUUUUAAAGUGUAAUUUGAUAUCACUCAUUUCAGCACAGUAUUGUAGCUUACCACAUAAAACUAAUAAAAAUUACCAGAAGAAUAUUAUUAACUUAUGUCCCCUUGCAUGCAAAAAUGAAGGCCCCUUAGAGAUGGGUGUUGUACAUACCUUGAAGGUGAAGCUGGACCUGGCACUGAGGAUGCAGGCAGUACUGGAGCUUGGGUCGGGGCUGAGACUAAUACUGCGGGUGAUGUUACAACUACAGUUGCAGUUGACGCUGGAACUGGAGUUCCAGGCGAUGCUAGAACCAGAGCUGAGGUCGAGGAUGGAACUGGAGCUGAAACUAGAGCUGAGACUGGAGCUUGGGCUUGCUGGGUCCCUGUAGCUUGUUUUUUGGCAAAUCUUGGAGGAAGCUUAGAAGUCUGACUUCUUCCUUUCUCAUUUGUAUUCUUUUUGUUCCAAACCUUAAAUUGGUGGAAAUCAUUUUUGUCAAUAAUAUAGCUAAAAGCAAUAGUUUAUGCAUGCAAUAUCUAACAGAACUACCUAAUUCCUUUUACUUAUCUAAAUUUGUAUUCAUAAGCAACAGCAUCAAAGUCACCAUAAACUAAAACCCAAUAAAAGACAGACAUUAUGUACUAUAGUUCAGGCUGGACUUGAACUUACUAUGAAGCCCAGGCUAGUCUCAAACUCACUGCGAUCCUCCUGUCUCAGCCUCCCAAAUAUUGGGAUUACAAGUGUGCGCCAACACACGAAUCUUUCAACAUACAGCAGACCCUUGACUUUCGAACUCAAUUUGCUAGGGCAGUUGGAACUCAAGCUGCUCAACUGAAGGCUCAGGCUCCUCUACACAGCCUUCAAAGCCUCUCUCCUGUAUAAUUUUAGGCCACACUUUCUUCCGGUCAAUCUCAGUGUCCUUAGAGAGACACUGGCCCAGGAUUUCUCAAUUAAUCCCACACAGGGGCUGGGGGUUUAGCUCAGUGGUUCUGCCACCUGCCUUGCAAGCACACGGACCCAAAUUCGAUCCCCGGUACCAAAACAACAACAACAAGAACAACAACAAGAACAACCCACACAGGAAAGGAUGUUGUAAUGCUCCUUCCAGAACUCUUUAAGAGUUAAAUCUGUAUCUGAGACCACUUGGGAGCACAAGCAGCCAGUAUUCAGGUUGUAACUCAAGACUUUGUUCAUAAGUUAAAAUUCUGGUCAUAACCCAAGAUGUUCAUAUGUCAGGCUGGUCGUAACUUAAGGGUCCUCUGUAAUUUAAAUUAACUCAACUCUUCAUGGGGCAAAUAACAUGACCAGCACUAACACAUAAGUGUAAUGCUGAAUUAAAGUAAAGAUGGUCCUCUCUAUGGCAAAUUUAAAUUUACCUAAGUUCUGGUAAAAAUAGCUGAAAUGUCUGAACACGAAAUCAUUUUCAGGACUUGAAUAAUUAAAUAGACUUGAUUUUGCUAGUAGAUGGAAACCUUGAGCAUUUGCUAACAUAUUCUGGACAACAUUCUUAACUUGUGACAAACUGAAACAAGCUUUAAACCUGUAUGACUUGUUCUUCCUUCUUUCGACGUUCCUCAUCCUGUAAACGUUUUUGUUGUUUUUUAGAUACCACUUCGGUAAAACCAUCAUCAUUCAAAUUUGACUGGGGGUCUUCAACUACUGUUACUUCAGGGUGAUCGUCAAUUAUAACAACACCUGCAAGUGUGAAAAAUGAUUUAAGUAUCUUCCUUGUUUCAAAUUAAAGAGUAGAAAGGUCCAGUGUAUUUAUGUGGCAGAAAAAAAGAGAAAUGUGAGAAAUGUUUAUAUAAUUUACAAUAUAACCCAGUGGUGGUGAACCUAUGGCUCAUGGGCUGCAGUGAGCUGUUUGCAUCACUGAAAGUUCUGAAGGGUUCACCAUCAGCGGUAUAACUUAUCUCCCACUCUAUAAGAUGGUCGGUGAUACAUCAGCAAGAUGUGAAAAGAUUUCAUGGAUUUAUGAAAAAAUUUCACAAAGUUAAUAAUGAAAGUACCAAAAUUAUACGGUUUAAGUGAUAUGUAUUUUUUUCCUUAAGCAACAUUAAAAAUAAAAAUUAUCUUCUAGGGCUGGGGAUUUAGCUCAGCCGUAUAGCAGCUGCCUGGCAAGCAUGAGGUUGAGUUUGAUUCCCAGUUCAAAAACAAACAAAUAAACAAAAAACAUGUGUGUGUGCGCGCGCGCACACACACACACACACACACACACAACCUCCUGGCCUCAGAUCUACAUGGUGCUUUAAAAAUAAUAUUACUUUAACUCACUUGCAACUCACCAUUCUAAGAACUGCAUAUUACUAUUAUUUUCCUUUUCUAAAGGAUGAAAUAAGCGCUCAGCUGAUUUGUUAAAGGUGAGGUGCCCAGUAUAAGCCUGAUUUAUUAAAUUUUAGCAAUGCAUCCAUUUUUCAGACUCCUGUCUACAAUGUAUUGUUGUGUUUUUUUUGCUUAAAUUCUUUUAUUGGUACAUUUUAGGUAUACAAUACGUUUACAUUUAUCAUUGGGUGCUUGUACAAUGUAUUGUUGUUAAAAACAUGAAAUUAAUGUGACGGUUACAUAUGAAUGUAAUGUGGCAUAGCAUAGGUGUAUAUAAACAUCAAUAUCACCUAGCUGAUAAUUUUAUGUAUUUUCAAUUAUUCUUGGCCUUCAUCCACUAGAUGUCAGUAGCAGCCCGUGACAGUUUUAACAAUUAAAAAUUUCUCCAGAGAUUGUCAAAUGUGCCCCUAGAGUGCAAAAAUUACUCAUGUUGUGAAUCACUGCUUUAAAUAACCAAAUUGAAAAUUCUUAAAUAUGUGACUAAAAUCAGUUUAUUUCUUUCCCAUAUGAAUCUAUAGUGGUACUAUAUAGAACAGUAGUUCUCAGACUUUACUGUGCAUUAGAAUCACAUGGAGAAUUUGUGAAAAACAGAGACUGCUAUGAAUGACCCACUACCAGUUUCUUGAUUUAGUAGGUUUGGGUAGAUAAGAAUUUUUUUUUGGUACCGGGGAUUGAACUCAGGACCUUGUGCUUGCGAGGCAGGCACAGUGCUGCUGAGCUACAUCCCCGGCAAAUAAGAAUUUUUAUUUCUCACAAAAUUUCAGGAGAUACUAAUGGUCUGGGGACCACACUCUCAGAAUCACUGGUCAAAUUAUAUCCAAGACUUUGGUCCACAUCAGGGUUUAAUAUGUAUACAUGACCAUUAAUUAGAUGAAAGAUAAUCAGAUUUAUACUUCUAAUACUGGAAUAAAUGACGUACCCAACCUUUCCAUCACUACUACCUGGUCUUAGUAAUUCUCCCUAUUUUAUUCAGUGUUUUCAGCUUCAGUUUCAUCUGAAUGAAUGGCAAAUAGUGCAUUUUUACAUAUAUAAAUGUCUUUUCAUAGAUAUUCUUUCCUUGUUAAUUUCCUUAUCCAGUAUUUUCUUAUUGCUUGUUACUCUUCACACGAUAAUCAUUUCAUGGUUUAGUAUUUAUCCAUAGCAACACUGCCUGCUAUCCUUUAAUUCUCUACUUAUCGUACCUUAGAAACCAGUCUUACCAAGGUUGUAAUCUUAGUGAGUUGAGCAUUCAUUUGCUUUUAAGAACACCAAGCUGUACCUACAGAUAUAAUUAAGCAUCAUCACUUAGUUUCCUGUGCUUUCCCAUAUCUGUAUGGCAAGGUAGGAUGGGGGUUAAGCAAUUUUCUUUUCUAGAAAGGCCAGUGAAAUUGUGUUGGAUAUCUUUAAUAAGAAUUUUCUUAAGUAUUCAGGGCUAUGCUAAAAAGUGGUAUUAUUUUAGUUGAAGUUAAAUCAGUGUUUUAUUGGCUUCUAUUUCUACCAUGAAAAUCUAAUUCUUGAUGACUUCUUUAUAACAUCCACUUAAAUGUAACAGAUAAUUAAAAUGAAAGGAAUCUAUGACGUACUUGCAUAAUUGUUAAGAUCAAACUGGGAGAGAGCAUCUACUUUCUCUUUGGGUUUUUUAGGACCUGGUUUGGUGUCUUCUCUUUUUUUCCCAGCAGAAUCCUUAGAACUCUUUUGUCCUGUACCAUUAGGUGCUCCUUCCUGGUGGUGUGCAGAACUGCUAUUGAUGGGGUCAACACAGGUUGGGCCUACGGACUGGUCAUCGAAUGGCCUACAAAAAAUAAAUUGGUAUCACUACCUUAACAUAUCCAAACAAAAGAAAAAUGCUCUCACUGGCAUUUCCUAAAGUUUAAGAUGAAAUAGCAAUAGAAUACACAACUCUACAUCUCACAUACUAAGAAGCCUCAAGGGUCCAAACUCACUAAAACCGAGCUUUCCAAUAAAGUAGACUUGGAAUUCUUCCCAGCAAUUAAAGCUUAGAAUUCUAAUUAUCCUAGAAGCUUUUUAUUUUGUUCAUUUGACUAUCAUAUUA
rnacentral:lncRNA from 1 species